rnacentral:rRNA from 1 species
UACGAAGGGUGCAAGCGUUACUCGGAAUUACUGGGCGUAAAGCGUGCGUAGGCGGUUUGUUAAGUCUGUCGUGAAAGCCCCGGGCUCAACCUGGGAAUGGCGAUGGAUACUGGCGAGCUAGAGUACGGUAGAGGAGAGUGGAAUUCCCGGUGUAGCAGUGAAAUGCGUAGAGAUCGGGAGGAACAUCAGUUGCGAAGGCGGCUCUCUGGACCGAUACUGACGCUGAGGCGCGAAAGCGUGGGGAGCAAACAGG